rnacentral:lncRNA from 1 species
GAGACAACAAGCUGGGGCCCCUCUCUGGUCCCAGAGCACCCACUGGAAGCACCUAGGGACAAGAGGACCUUCUGUGCCCCUGAGGUAGCAUGACAAGCUUAACAUGAAUACUGACAUCAAAGAAUCCACAGAGCUGUGUCCAAGGCCAGACCUUACCAAGUCAGCCCUAGGACCUUGAACUAUGUCCUUCACUAUGACUUGUUCAUCUGUAAGAAGAGCUUGGAAACCUUCCCCCCAGAUCAAAGCAAGAAUGAAGAUUACUGAUGUUGGCUCAUAUAAAGCAAUGAUGUCUGAGCCUCCUCCCCAAGAAGGCCUGAGAUUGAUGGGGCAAUCCCAUAUCCAGAAGACCUAGAGGCUCUUCCAGUGCUAAACACCCUAACAGGCUAUACCCACCUCAAGAAAAAUCUUUCGGACAGAUCAGCUAGCAGAAUCCAGACCACCCAACUCAUCUGCUCCGGAGAACAGGAAGCACUGUGCUUUUCUCUUGACCUCAGAUCUGUGUAUGCUGCACCAGCACAAUGGGCCCUGCAAUCCUUCUUUCUUUCAAGAGAAACCCCUCUAAUUCACUCUCAGAUCACCAGAGCCCAGAUAAGACAACUGUACUUUUCAACCCUUUGUUUCAGCAUUGUACUAAUUUCAGCACCACGUGAGAUGUGGAAGCAGCAUGAUGGUGUCCAAAGACACACACAUUGUAAUCCCAGAACCUGUGAAUACAUGCCAGCAUUGACAAAUGGAAAUUAAGGUUUCAGAUGGAAUUCAGCUUGCUAAUCAGCUAACCAUAAGGUAGGGAGAGUACCCUACACCAUCCAGUGGGAUCCAAUGUAAAGGUUCUUAACAG